rnacentral:misc_RNA from 1 species
CUAUACUCUGUUUCGCAU